rnacentral:rRNA from 1 species
GUUGGUGGAGUGAUUUGUCUGGUUAAUUCCGUUAACGAACGAGACCUCGACCUGCUAAAUAGUUCGGCGUAUCUUCUGAUACGUAACGUGACUUCUUAGAGGGACUAUCAGGAGAGUAUCCGAUGGAAGUUCGAGGCAAUAACAGGU